ensembl:lncRNA novel transcript
AGAAUUAACAGUCCUGCUUUCAUGCCUUUGCUUGCCACCCAGCUUAGCCUCUUAUCUCAGCUUCUGAAACAUUCUUCAACCUCUACCAGUCUUCUGAAGGUGGCAGCUGUUAAUACAGAACUUGAUGAGGAAGAUGCCAGCAUCUCACCUGGAAUUCACAAAACCCUAGCCAGCCCUAACUCACAAGGGCCUGCACACCCUUUAAUCCAGCAAAAUUAACUCAAGAGCAUGUGGGACCUGAAAUCCAGUCUCUGCAUAUUAUUGCAAGUGCUUCAAGCAAAGAAAAGAACCUGAUUUCACAUUUGAGAUGCAUUUUAAACCAAAGGUCUGUUCUGGUACCUCCACAAGGAAGCAUCAAUCGGACCACAGAAAAUUUACAUCCAGGGAUUUGUCUUCUGGAAUGGAUCUCACUGACCUACAAGAAUUGAAUUUGCCCGUGUCUUCACAACACCUUGUUAGUGGUAUCAAAUCAGGAGAUUGAAGGAUAGAAGAGUCUAUGAAGUACAGAAAAGAGGAAAGAUCUGCAAACAAUUCGGUAUCUUCUUUUAACUUGAAACUCAUUCUACCCACUGCUACAGCUAGGUACUGUGCUCUUGCUCAGAUUGCUGGAGGGUUUUGUUGUGAUGAUCUCCUUCAAUACAUCAAUACUAUAAGUUCUAUAAGAAUCAUCUCAGAGCUUGUUUAGAACUCAUUUUUUUUCUUUUUCUGGGUUAUGCAAUUAUAAUAUUCAUUUACAUGUGAAAGCCCUGGACCAUCAAUGGAUUUUAUCAAUGUAUUAAAAUUGCUAACUGUGCCAUGCA